AGUGAACGCUGGCGGUAGGCCUAACACAUGCAAGUCGAACGGCAGCACAGUAAGAGCUUGCUCUUACGGGUGGCGAGUGGCGGACGGGUGAGGAAUACAUCGGAAUCUACUUUUUCGUGGGGGAUAACGUAGGGAAACUUACGCUAAUACCGCAUACGACCUACGGGUGAAAGCAGGGGAUCUUCAGACCUUGCGCGAUUGAAUGAGCCGAUGUCGGAUUAGCUAGUUGGCGGGGUAAAGGCCCACCAAGGCAACGAUCCGUAGCGGGUCUGAGAGGAUGAUCAGCCACACUGGAACUGAGACACGGUCCAGACUCCUACGGGAGGCAGCAGUGGGGAAUAUUGGACAAUGGGCGCAAGCCUGAUCCGGCCAUACCGCGUGGGUGAAGAAGGCCUUCGGGUUGUAAAGCCCUUUUGUUGGGAAAGAAAAGCAGCAGGUUAAUACCCCGCUGUUCUGACGGUACCCAAAGAAUAAGCACCGGCUAACUUCGUG
rnacentral:rRNA from 1 species